UACGGGGGGAGCAAGCGUUGUUCGGAUUUACUGGGCGUAAAGGGCGCGUAGGCGGCCAGCACAAGUCAGUUGUGAAAUCUCCGAGCUUAACUCGGAAAGGUCAACUGAUACUGUGCGGCUAGAGUGCGGAAGGGGCAACUGGAACUCUUGGUGUAGCGGUGAAAUGCGUAGAUAUCAAGAGGAACACCUGCGGCGAAGGCGGGUUGCUGGGCCGACACUGACGCUGAGGCGCGAAAGCCAGGGGAGCGAACGGG
rnacentral:rRNA from 1 species